rnacentral:sRNA from 1 species
ACGUGAGGCCCGGAGCUGGGCGGUGGAUCUCAAGUGCCAUUUCUCUCUGGUAACAGAGAAGCUGCUGGUGAUCACUGUGGCCACAGCUGAAACCGAGGGGUACCUGCGUUUCCUGCGCUCUGCAGAGUUCUUCAACUACACUGUGCGAACCCUGGGCCUGGGAGAGGAGUGGCGAGGGGGUGAUGUGGCCCGAACAGUUGGUGGAGGACAGAAGGUCCGGUGGCUAAAGAAGGAAAUGGAGAAAUACGCUGACCGGGAGGAUAUGAUCAUCAUGUUUGUGGAUAGCUACGACGUGAUUCUGGCCGGCAGCCCCACAGAGCUGCUGAAGAAGUUCGUCCAGAGUGGCAGCCGCCUGCUCUUCUCUGCGGAGAGCUUCUGCUGGCCCGAGUGGGGGCUGGCGGAGCAGUACCCUGAGGUGGGCACGGGGAAGCGCUUCCUCAACUCUGGUGGAUUCAUCGGUUUUGCCACCACCAUCCACCAAAUCGUGCGCCAGUGGAAGUACAAGGAUGAUGACGAUGACCAGCUGUUCUACACACGGCUCUACCUGGACCCAGGACUGAGG